rnacentral:rRNA from 2 species
AGCAGCCGCGGUAAUUCCAGCUCCAAUAGCGUAUAUUAAAGUUGUUGCAGUUAAAAAGCUCGUAGUUGAAUUUCGGGAUUGACACAUCGGUCGUGCCUUAAGGGGUAUGAACUGGUGUAGUCAAUUUCUCACCUUCUGGAGAACCGCAAUGCCCUUAAUUGGGUGUCGCGGGGAACCAGGACCUUUACUUUGAAAAAUUAGAGUGUUUAAAGCAGGCAUUUUGCUUGAAUACAUUAGCAUGGAAUAAUAAAAUAGGACGGCAUGAUUCUAUUUUGUUGGUUUCUAGGAUCACCGUAAUGAUUAAUAGGGAUAGUUGGGGGCAUUAGUAUUCAAUUGUCAGAGGUGAAAUUCUUGGAUUUAUUGAAGACUAACUACUGCGAAAGCAUUUGCCAAGGAUGUUUUCAUUAAUCAAGAACGAAAGUUAGGGGAUCGAAGACGAUCAGAUACCGU